AUAAAUCCUUGAGUGAGUCAAUAAGUUUCUAUCUCUUUAUUUAAGAAGUUUACAAAGUCUCUCUGUGCCUCAAAUUCCUCCCGGAUAGAAUAGGAAUUAUAACAUCACAUGUUCAUAAGCUUGGUAUGAGUAUUAUGUAAGUUCAUACAAAUAAAGAUCUCUGAAAGGUAAUUAGCACAUGCUAAGAUCUCAAUAACUGUUGGUUGUUUUAUUUCUGCUGGUCUUAGUCUGCUUCCUGCUGCUAUAACAGAUUAUUUACAUCUGAGCAAUUCACUUUUAAAAAAUGGGGCUUAAUUGGCUCACAGUUCUAGUGUUUGGGAAGAAAUAAUGACUGGAAUAUAAUAGUAUGCAAUUAGCAGCUUACUUC
rnacentral:lncRNA from 1 species